GACGAACGCUGGCGGCGUGCCUAAUACAUGCAAGUUGAGCGCUGAAGGUUGGUACUUGUACCCACUGGAUGAGCAGCGAACGGGUGAGUAACGCGUGGGGAAUCUGCCUUUGAGCGGGGGACAACAUUUGGAAACGAAUGCUAAUACCGCAUAAAAACUUUAAACACAAGUUUUAAGUUUGAAAGAUGCAAUUGCAUCACUCAAAGAUGAUCCCGCGUUGUAUUAGCUAGUUGGUGAGGUAAAGGCUCACCAAGGCGAUGAUACAUAGCCGACCUGAGAGGGUGAUCGGCCACAUUGGGACUGAGACACGGCCCAAACGCCUACGGGAGGCAGCAGUAGGGAAUCUUCGGCAAUGGACGAAAGUCUGACCGAGCAACGCCGCGUGAGUGAAGAAGGUUUUCGGAUCGUAAAACUCUGUUGGUAGAGAAGAACGUUGGUGAGAGUGGAAAGCUCAUCAAGUGACGGUAACUACCCAGAAAGGGACGGCUAACUACGUG
rnacentral:rRNA from 1 species